GAUGAACGCUGGCGGCGUGCCUAAUACAUGCAAGUCGAGCGAACAGACGAGGAGCUUGCUCCUCUGACGUUAGCGGCGGACGGGUGAGUAACACGUGGAUAACCUACCUAUAAGACUGGGAUAACUUCGGGAAACCGGAGCUAAUACCGGAUAACAUGUUGAACCGCAUGGUUCAACAGUGAAAGACGGUUUUGCUGUCACUUAUAGAUGGAUCCGCGUCGCAUUAGCUAGUUGGUAAGGUAACGGCUUACCAAGGCAACGAUGCGUAGCCGACCUGAGAGGGUGAUCGGCCACACUGGAACUGAGACACGGUCCAGACUCCUACGGGAGGCAGCAGUAGGGAAUCUUCCGCAAUGGGCGAAAGCCUGACGGAGCAACGCCGCGUGAGUGAAGAAGGUCUUCGGAUCGUAAAACUCUGUUAUUAGGGAAGAACAAAUGUGUAAGUAACUAUGCACGACUUGACGGUACCUAAUCAGAAAGCCACGGCUAACUACGUG
rnacentral:rRNA from 1 species